rnacentral:rRNA from 1 species
AUUGCGGUGAGCGAGCGGGAAGAGCUCAAAUUUAUAAUCUGGCACCUUCGGUGUCCGAGUUGUAAUCUCUAGAAAUGUUUUCCGCGUUGGACCGCACACAAGUCUGUUGGAAUACAGCGGCAUAGUGGUGAGACCCCCGUAUAUGGUGCGGACGCCCAGCGCUUUGUGAUACAUUUUCGAAGAGUCGAGUUGUUUGGGAAUGCAGCUCAAAUUGGGUGGUAAAUUCCAUCUAAAGCUAAAUAUUGGCGAGAGACCGAUAGCGAACAAGUACCGUGAGGGAAAGAUGAAAAGCACUUUGGAAAGAGAGUUAACAGUACGUGAAAUUGUUGGAAGGGAAACGCUUGAAGUCAGACUUGCUUGCCGAGCAAUCGGUUUGCAGGCCAGCAUCAGUUUUCCGGGAUGGAUAAUGGUAGAGAGAAGGUAGCAGUUUCGGCUGUGUUAUAGCUCUCUGCUGGAUACAUCUUGGGGGACUGAGGAACGCAGUGUGCCUUUGGCGGGGGUUUCGACCUCUUCACACUUAGGAUGCUGGUGGAAUGGCUUUAAACGACCCGUCUUGAAACACGGACC